rnacentral:rRNA from 1 species
AGCGAACGCUGGCGGCAGGCCUAACACAUGCAAGUCGAACGAACUCUUCGGAGUUAGUGGCGGACGGGUGAGUAACAUGUGGGAACGUGCCUGUUGGUUCGGAAUAACUAAGGGAAACUUGUGAUAAUACCGAAUGUGCCCUUCGGGGGAAAGAUUUAUCGCCAUUAGAGCGGCCCGCGUCUGAUUAGCUAGUUGGUGAGGUAACGGCUCACAAAGGCGACGAUCAGUAGCUGGUCUGAGAGGAUGACCAGCCACACUGGGACGGCGACACGGCCCAGACUCCUACAGGAGGCAGCAGUGGAGAAUCUUCCGCAAUGCGCGAAAGCCUGACGCUACCAUGCCGCGUGAAUGAUGAAGGUCUUAGGAUUAUAAACUUCUUUCACCGGGAACGAUAAUAACGGUACCCGGAUAAGAAGCCCCGGCUAACUUCGUG